CCGACGGUGAGGGGUGAAAGCUAGGGGCACGAACCGGAUUAGAUACCCGGGUAGUCCUAGCCGUAAACGAUACUCGCUAGGUGUCGGCAACGGUGCGACCGCUGUCGGUGCCGUAGGGAAGCCGUGAAGCGAGCCACCUGGGAAGUACGGCCGCAAGGCUGAAACUUAAAGGAAUUGGCGGGGGAGCACCACAACGGGUGGAGCUUGCGGCUUAAUUGGAUCCAACGCCGGAAAUCUUACCGGGACCGACAGCAAUAUGAAGGCCAGGCUGAAGACUUUGCCGGAUUAGCUGAGAGGUGGUGCAUGGCCGUCGUCAGUUCGUACUGUGAAGCAUCCUGUUAAGUCAGGCAACGAGCGAGACCCACGCCCACAGUUGCC
rnacentral:rRNA from 1 species